CCUACGGGCGGUAGCAGUGGGGAAUAUUGGACAAUGGGGGCAACCCUGAUCCAGCCAUGCCGCGUGUGUGAAGAAGGCCCUCGGGUUGUAAAGCACUUUCAGUGAGGAAGAACGCCUGGUGGUUAAUACCCAUCAGGAAAGACAUCACUCACAGAAGAAGCACCGGCUAACUCCGUGCCAGCAGCCGCGGUAAUACGGAGGGUGCGAGCGUUAAUCGGAAUUACUGGGCGUAAAGCGCGCGUAGGUGGCUUGAUAAGCCGGUUGUGAAAGCCCCGGGCUCAACCUGGGAACGGCAUCCGGAACUGUCAAGCUAGAGUGCAGGAGAGGAAGGUAGAAUUCCCGGUGUAGCGGUGAAAUGCGUAGAGAUCGGGAGGAAUACCAGUGGCGAAGGCGGCCUUCUGGACUGACACUGACACUGAGGUGCGAAAGCGUGGGUAGCAAACAGGAUUAGAUACCCUUGUAGUC
rnacentral:rRNA from 1 species